rnacentral:rRNA from 1 species
UACGGAAGGCAGCAGUGGGGAAUAUUGGACAAUGGGCGAAAGCCUGAUCCAGCCAUGCCGCAUGAGUGAAGAAGGCCUUCGGGUUGUAAAGCUCUUUUAGUGAGAAAGAUAAUGACGGUACUCACAGAAGAAGUCCUGGCUAACUCCGUGCCAGCAGCCGCGGUAAUACGGAGAGGGCUAGCGUUAUUCGGAAUUAUUGGGCGUAAAGAGCGCGUUAGGCUGAUUAGUAAGUUAAAAGUGAAAUCCCAAAGCUUAACUUUGGAAUUGCUUUUUAAAACUGCUAGUCUAGAGAUUUGAAAGAGGAUAGAGGAAUUCCUAGUGUAGGAGGUGAAAUUCGUAAAUAUUAGGAGGAACACCAGUGGCGAAGGCGUCUAUCUGGUUCAAAUCUGACGCUGAGGCGCGAAGGGCGUGGGGAGCAAAACAGGGAUUAGAUACCCGU